rnacentral:rRNA from 1 species
GACAGAGGGUGCAAGCGUUGUUCGGAAUUAUUGGGCGUAAAGGGCGCGUAGGCGGCGCUGUAAGUCAGAUGUGAAAUCCCUGGGCUUAACCCAGGACGUGCAUCUGAUACUGCAGCGCUUGAGUCUCGGAGAGGAUGGUGGAAUUCCCAGUGUAGAGGUGAAAUUCGUAGAUAUCGGGAGGAACACCGGUGGCGAAGGCGGCGACCUGGGUCGAUACUGACGCUGAGGUGCGAAAGCGUGGGGAGCAAACAGG